GGGGGCGACAGGUUUCGACAGCAGGAUGGAAGGUCCGUGAGAGCGAGCCGAGGAUGGAGGAUCCUCGUAAAUCCGACUCCAAAAAAAUAAUUGCCAACGAAGAUUUCGCACUGGCUGCUUAAUUAAAGCAGUCACGCUGUCCGGGGGCUCGGUCGUUGGAAACCGGCACGGCGUCACAAAGACGGCUGGAACUAUGGGAGUUUUCUCUGUCUAUGGUUUGAGACUCUAGGGAGGAAUAGAUAAGGGAAAUCCUGUCCGAGGGAGUUCCUAAGUCGAAUUUAAAACACGGACUACGCUCGUAGCGCUACCGGAUGGUCCCUUGUUGGACCGGAGUUCGAUUCUCCGCGCCUCCACCA
rnacentral:tmRNA from 1 species